rnacentral:lncRNA from 1 species
UUUUCUAUUAAAUGUUAUGUGGGAAUAAUCCUUAAAACCCAAAAAAAAAAAAUUUAACUUAGAAAAAGAGAGUUCCUACUAAAGCAUAACAAAGUGACAAAGAAAAACAAAGAGAAAAUCGAUUUUUUGUGCGAACAGAUCCUUCUCUUCUCUUUUGCUGUCUCUUCGUCUCAUGGAGCGUAAUUCGCCGGCUACUGGUAAAGCGGUUAUAACUCUCAAAACCGUCAUUCUUAGUAAUUUUUAUUAGCCAUGUGUUUGUCUCUGGAUCAACCAAAUAGUUCAGAGUGGAACUUUAUUUCCCCUGUUCUUAUUACUAAUGGCGAACAAAAUCAUGCGCCAAAUGCAACAUAUUGCACUUG